UGAACACCAUCAUUCACAUGUUAGUGAGCAUGUGUUCUUUCCUCCACAGUGAAUCUGUGUGUCCUUAUGAAACGUGAUCUGGUGUUAAGUCACUGUCUCACCACUACAGUGUCGCACGUCAGCAAUAAUGUCACCAAAUGAAGCUGCCUUAUUUGCAAUCCUGAGAAUAAAGGACAUCUAACAUCCCAAAGGGUCUCUUCGGAACCCCCCCAUCUCAUCCCUACUGCUCCUGCCUCUGAGUCUGGAGGCAUAGUGUAGAGGUUAAGAGCACUGACUGCUCUUCCAGAGAUCCUGAGUUCAAUUCCCAGCAACCAUAUGGUGGCUCACAACGUCUUCAUUUAAAAAACACAAAACAAAACAAAACAAAACAAAACAAAACAAACAAACCUGAGGUUCUAGGUGCCAGGGAGAUAGUUCAGUCCGUAAGGUUUGAUCCCCAGAGUCCAAACUUAAAAGGCAGACGUGAUACCAUAUGCUUGUAGUUGCAGCCGAGUCGAGACAGACAUGGGUGGAUUCCUGGAGCUCAGUGACCAGUCAGCCAGGUCUGCUCAGGGGCUCCAGGUCAGGGAGGGACCCUGCCUAAAGCAACCCAACAAAGUAGACAGUCUCCGAGGAAUAACACCCAUGGUGCUCUCUGCCUCAUGCCACAUGUUCACAUGUCAAACAUGCACAUGCACACACACACACACACACACACACACACACACACACACACACUGAAGCUGAGAGCAGAAAGCUAGACAUUUAGGCUCUACCUGCAGUCAACUACCA
rnacentral:lncRNA from 1 species